rnacentral:rRNA from 1 species
CAGCUUUUGACAUGCCCUGGACGGAUACCAGAGAUGGUUUCUUCUCUUCGGAGCCGGGGACACAGGUGCUGCAUGGCUGUCGUCAGCUCGUGUCGUGAGAUGUUGGGUUAAGUCCCGCAACGAGCGCAACCCUCGCCUUUAGUUGCCACCAUUAAGUUGGGCACUCUAAAGGGACCGCCGGUGGUAAGCCGGAGGAAGGUGGGGAUGAGGUCAAGUCCUCAUGGCCCUUACAAGGUGGGCUACACACGUGCUACAAUGGCGACUACAGAGGGCUGCAAACCCGCGAGGGGGAGCCAAUCCCUAAAAGUCGUCUCAGUUCGGAUUGCACUCUGCAACUCGAGUGCAUGAAGUCGGAAUCGCUAGUAAUCGCGGAUCAGCAUGCCGCGGUGAAUA